rnacentral:rRNA from 1 species
AGUGAACGCUGGCGGUACGCCUAACUCAUGCAAGUCGAACGGCCGCACAGUAAGAGCUUGCUCUUAUGGGUGGCGAGUGGCGGACGGGUGCGGAAUACAUCGGAAUCUACUUUUUCGUGGGGGGUAACGUAGGGAAACUUACGCUAAUACCGCAUACGACCUACGGGUGAAAGCAGGGGACCUUCGGCCCUUGCACGAGUGAUUGAGCCGAUGUCGGAUUAGCUAGUUGGCGGAGGAAAGGCCCACCAAGGCGUCGAUCCGUAGCUGGUCUGCGAGGAUGAACAGCCACACUGGAACUGAGACUCGGUCCAGACACCUACGGGUGGCAACAGUGAGGAAUAGUGAACAAUGGUGGCAAGCCUGAUCCAGCCAUACCGCGUAGAGCAAGAAGCCCUUCCGGUGGUAAAACCCUUUUAUUGGGAAAGAAAAGCAGCAGGUUAAUACCCCGCUGUUCUGACGGUACCCAAAGAAUAAGCACCGGCUGACUUCGUG